GAGGGUCCCGUGUCGCGCCGAUUGCUGCACCUGCCGGCGCAGCGCUACGUGAGCGAGGUUACCACCGAGACGCAGAGUCCUCCGGGGGUCCUAGACGUGCCUCAGGCCGGGUUUUGGACUGUUGGUCCAGCAUAGGAGUGAGCUGUCGUUUCCAGGAAGUCGAGGUCCGGGCAUCAAGAUUCAGCCUCACAAGGCCAAACGCAGGCUGCACGUGAAAACUAACCAGAAAAGUCCAGACAGUCAAGGGAAAAGAAAUUCAGUCUUCAAGGCCAAACGCGAGCUGGUGGGAAGGCGCCAACCAGCAAGGCCACAUGCUCCCCGUCGCCUACCUGAAACCCCAGAUAAAAACCCCCACUUUUUCCCUUCUGGGAGGUGGAAGUGAGUUCUAAGUCCCCUCUCCUGUCUGGCUGCCUUUUGACAAUAGUAAACCUCUUUCCUUUUUGUAA